rnacentral:tRNA from 1 species
AGUUAACGUAGCAAAACCCGGAUUUGCAAAAGACCUAAACCCUUUCUAUAGAGGUUCAAAUCCUCUCGCUAACU